rnacentral:rRNA from 1 species
AUUGAACGCUGGCGGCAGGCCUAACACAUGCAAGUCGAACGAGUGGCGGACGGGUGAGUAAUAUAUGGGAAACUGCCUGCUCGAGGGGGAUAACUACUGGAAACGGUAGCUAAUACCGCAUACUAUCAGAUGUGCCCAGAUGGGAUUAGCUGGUGGGUGGGGUAAGGGCUCACCAAGGCGACGAUCCCUAGCUGGUCUGAGAGGAUGACCAGCCACACUGGAACUGAGACACGGUCCAGACGCCUACGGGAGGCAGCAGUGGGGAAUAUGGCACAAUGGGCGCAAGCCUGAUGCAGCCAUGCCGCGUGUAUGAAGAAGGCAUUCGGGUUGUAAAGUACUUUCAGUGGGGAGGCGUUACCCGCAGAAGAAGCACCGGCUAACUCCGUGCCAGCAGCCGCGGUAAUUC